rnacentral:rRNA from 1 species
UACGAAGGGGGCUAGCGUUGUUCGGAAUUACUGGGCGUAAAGCGUGCGUAGACGGCUAUCUAAGUCGGGUGUGAAAGCCCCGGGCUCAACCUGGGAAUUGCAUUCGAGACUGAAUAGCUAGGGUGCGGUAGAGGGAAGCGGAAUUUCCGGUGUAGCGGUGAAAUGCGUAGAUAUCGGAAGGAACAUCAGUGGCGAAAGCGGCUUCCUGGACCAGCACCGACGUUCAGGCACGAAAGCGUGGGGAGCAAACAGG